rnacentral:rRNA from 1 species
GAAUUCGAUUAGAGUUUGAUCAUGGCUCAGGAUGAACGCUGGCGGCGUGCCUAAUACAUGCAAGUCGAACGGGGAGUGUAUACUUCGGUUUAUACUCUUAGUGGCGAACGGGUGAGUAACGCGUUGGUGACCUGCCCCGAAGGACGGGAUAACAGCUCGAAAGGGCUGCUAAUACCGUAUGAGAUCUAAGGAGUUAGAGUACCAUAGAUGAAAGGAGUAAUCCGCUUCGGGAGGGGCCUGCGUCCCAUCAGCUAGUUGGUAGGGUAAAGGCCUACCAAGGCAAAGACGGGUAGGGGGCCUGAGAGGGUGACCCCCCACAAUGGAACUGAAACACGGUCCAUACACCUACGGGUGGCAGCAGUAGGGAAUAUUGCACAAUGGGCGAAAGCCUGAUGCAGCAACGCCGCGUGCGCGAUGAAGGCCUUCGGGUUGUAAAGCGCUUUUCGGGGAGAUGAGGAAGGACAGUAUCCCCGGAAUAAGGCUCGGCUAACUACGUGCCAGCAGCCGCGGUAAAACGUAGGAGUCAAGCGUUAUCCGAAUUUACUGGGCGUAAAGCGCGUGCAGGCGGUUUGGUAAGUUGGAUGUGAAAGCUCCCGGCUCAACUGG